rnacentral:rRNA from 1 species
UACAGAGGGUGCAAGCGUUGUUCGGAAUUAUUGGGCGUAAAGCGCACGUAGGCGGCCUAUUAAGUCGAAUGUGAAAUCCCUGGGCUUAACCCAGGAACUGCAAGCGAAACUGGUAGGCUUGAGUAUCGUAGAGGAUGGUGGAAUUCCCAGUGUAGAGGUGAAAUUCGUAGAUAUUGGGAGGAACAUCGGUGGCGAAGGCGACCAUCUGGGCGAUAACUGACGCUGAGGUGCGAAAGUGUGGGUAGCAAACAGG